GGGGAGGUGCCAGAGUGGUCGAAUGGGCCCGCCUGCUAAGUGGGUAUAUGAGGGUAACCUUGUAUCGAAGGUUCGAAUCCUUUCCUCCCCG
rnacentral:tRNA from 1 species